UUUUUUUUUAUUUUUAUUGAUUUUACAGCUUAGUUACAUCUCAGUGAAAUGCUGAUGUAAGUGACCAGAAGAGAUAAUUAUCUGUCAGGGUCGACUAGCAGCCAGCAACGUUUUUACUUUUACAACUUUAGAACUAUUUUGUGGAAGAACUAGUGCCCAGGCACGUGCCGUAUCCUUGCGCCAGGUGUGUUUGUUUUGCUGUCGAUAUCAACAACCGAUAUGUUGUGUCAACACGCCCCGCAGGCAAAAAUACAGUUGAAACUAAAUUAAUGUUGCAUUGAGCUCGACCUUUGCAACGGAAGAAGUGACAGGAGUUAGGCUGAAUUUAGUUUUUGUGCGAGAAAAGACGCCGUUAGUUUUCUGUUGGACAGAGGGAGACGCCUUUCCUUCUGCUAUCACUCCCAAAGAGAGUGGAUGUCUGGAGGCACAAGUGGAACAUGCUGUUAUGGAUAUGUGUACAACUUCCUGUUAAGUCCUGAACAUGAGUGAGCUUUGAAAUGGCUGUUUCGGCAUUCAGUCAUGACACUGGAGUUAACCCUGUUAUCAGUGGUCCUUUCAGCCGAGCUGGCCUUCUGCAGCAACGUGUCGCAGCCUCCUGGGACCUGACACACAACUGCAGAGGCAGUCAAACAGCGCACAGACGGUGGGAAGACAACUCUGCAGAGUCUGGGGAAACAUGAUCCUGGAAAUCUAAAGUCUGCUUGCUGAGAUGGAGAUGAAUGUCUGCAAAUGAAAUCUGUGCUAAGAAAACAAUUUGCCACAUGAUUUUUUUCUUACCCAGUUGCUUAUUGAAAGGUCCCUGUUGUCAUGGUUACAUCACACAUGGACACAGCCAUGUCCUUACUGUUAUGGCUGUUUCCUUUAGCCUUUUGCUGCAUGAUGUGGAGGUUAUGGUUGAACAACCAACAAGGCAGAGUGUGAGACAGUGAUUGGAAAAAUAUGUGGGUGGCUAAUUGAGUAAUAACAUUAUCAUCUAGGCCUGCAGACAAUCUUGUGUGCUCACUUUUAAUGCACACAUGAUACCAUUAUUUUACAUUAUAAAGCAUCACUGGAGUAAUGCAUUAUUCCUGUUGUGAGGAUCAGUAGAAGUUAGAAGCGACUAUCAAAGCUAUGUGUGGGCAGUUGGCUUCAUUUAUGAAAAAUGCCCCUUUCAACAUUCGAGAGAAUUGAGAAAGUGAUGCAUGUUCAUCCAAACAUCCGGAUUUAUUGGCAACUUGUUUGUUGUCCUAGCACGAUACAUGGGUGAUUAGUAUAUUCCUGUAAAAAUGUCUUAUGAUUAUUCUUUCUGCCAAAGAGCAAGAAUAUCACUUUUAUAUUCAGAAACACCAAUUCUAGGCUUUUACUCAUAAUUUAGUCUGAUUUAUGAAUUUCAAAGCCUGAUUCUCUGCCUGUGAUUCCCUCUGUGAAACAUUUAGAACACCAGAUGGGGAAAUAAUGAACCUUUCUAGCUAACACCAGCUGACAGAACCUUACAAAACCAAACACUGUUCACUGGGGUUCAGGUAAGGGGAUUGCAGGGAAAAACAAAUGUAAGUUUCAGAUGUCUUUUGCUAAGACAAACACUCAGAAUCAGCUUGUGAUCACACUUGACCCAGCGCCUUGUUAUUUCUUCAACAAUAAAGCCCAACAUUUCCAGCCAUUACCUCUGCACCAGAGUUAAAACAACAUCACAGUUACCAUGGUUACCCUGGUGGUUAUUACGUUUAUCAAAUGGAUGUAUAUGAUACAGAACCAAGUUAGACCAUCAUCCUGAACAGCUGAAGCUUGGUAAGAUUGAAUCUAGUCAACAUCACUAAGUAGCAGAGGAGGACGAUAGAAGGACAGAUGACAAAAUCUGGAAGAUUGGAAAGUAAGAAGGAGACUGAGUGACAGAAAGCAAUGCAUUAAUGGAAGAAAUGGGGUGUAAAGUUGCACAAAUAAAGUGCAGGGUGUAAACAGAUGAGAGGAAAAUGCUGAAGCCACAGGGGAUGAUGGGAAAGGGUGCGAGAUGGAAGAGAAAAUGGGAGAGGGGAUAAGGCAAAAUAUCAUAAAGGUUCAGUGGUGUUAUAGAGGAAUGAGUACAGUGCUUACUUAGCUCUCUGCAGUGCGACUGUCUGGCCCCGACUUCUUUUAUCCACCCGAGAUCAAAGCGGCGAAAAAGCUUGUGAAAUCCCAGGGGAAGCAUUACAUACAUCUAGUGCGUUGUGACUGGAUGAAGGACUUUUUGCCUCAUUCUGGCCACCACCAUGUUGUUGAAGCCAAGUAAGCUCUUAUAUAUAUUUUGCAUAAUAGGUAUCCAAACAUUAAGAACUUUCAAGCCCUUGUGUGGUUUGAAUGUUUUUGAGGACAAAUUAUUCAGAGAGCUUCAAAUGACAGCACGCCACUGUUGCAUUAAUUGCAGAAUAUGCAAAUGCAGCAUAAGCCUUGUAUAGAAAAAAGUGCUUUUCACAUUUUACAUUUUUUUUGUGUAGCAUAUGCAAAAUACAGGCAUCUUAAAGUGCUUUACAUGGGGGAAAGAAAUACAUCAGACCAACAUUUAAAUACACAGUGAA